rnacentral:sRNA from 1 species
UCUUAUCAUUCUCGAACAUGUACAUAGCAAACUUAUUCAACUUCGCCAUGUUCUCCUUAUACGUCACGUUCUUCGAAGCGCGCUCGUUAUUGAUAUCUGCCAGGAAAUUGCUAUAGGCACGAUACUGCUCCAUGUCUGCAGGAUCCCGAUAGUACUGCGCAGGUACGAAUCUGGACUGGACAAAUCUAGACCACGUACCCCAUCGUAGCAGCGACUCCCCAGCUCUACACAGCCAAUCACCAGUGGUGCUGCAGCCCUGGAAGCUUGAGAUACCAUUAUGUUGACUGCCGAAGGUAACGAGGUUGUGGACAGGUGGGAAGUUGCAGCGCUCGACAUAUGCACGAAGGAACUGGCCGCCCUGCGAGAAGCCCAAAGCAUUGAUGGAGGGAGCGGUACUGAGGAUCUGCUCCGUACCUAGCUUUUUGCAAACUUCUUCUAACUGCUCGUUGAGGUUGCCGAAAUAGCUGGCCCGGAGGUCUGUUGCGCGUGAACUGCCAAGGGAGAUGACGUAGACGUAGGUUCCUGGGUGGACCAGCUGGGCAAGGUUGGAGAUAUUCUGGAUGCUGCUGCUCCCGUAGUCAUCGCCUAGUCCAUGCCAUAUAACUAGGGGAAUCGGGCGCUUCCUGAGGAUGUUUUGUUCUGGUUGGGGUUUCGAGACGGCGGAGGCAUGUAUUGCCAGUUGGGAGAGGAUUAGGGCUAAUGAUACGGGGAAACGCAUCCCUGAGAGGAGUUCGGUAUAUAAAUAUAUGUGUGUUAAACUGCCGACAGUCUAGGAGUUCGGUAGCGUACGAUUAUAUAGGAUAUAGGGAUUGAUGUGCAAAAGGUGGAGGUUGGAUGAGGUUUGAAGCUGGUCAAGCGUUGCAAAAUACGGAGGCCGAGCUUGCUUAUUAGUGGGGAAGGCGUGCGCCACCACCGGCAACCACGACGACAACGCAAGCAAAUUAUUCCCCAACCAUGGAUAGAUUGCACGCCUGAGUGUCAUCGCAUGGUUUAACUGUGCUUUUUUUAACUACUACUUGUAUGUUUAGCUAAAAAUAAGUUGCGG